rnacentral:lncRNA from 1 species
GAGAGAAUAGGUGGAAGAGAGAUCAACUAGAAAGGUAGAGUCAACUGAUCUUGAUGUGGAGAGGGUGAGAAGAGAGAAAAAUAUCCUAAUCUUUGGCAACUCUGCUGCUAAAGCGGAAAUAGUAGGAAGAAGUGAGAGGAGAUGAGAACCUGCUUUGAAAAUGUAAACUCACAUUUCCAGUUGUGAGAGGUGACUGGACAGGACGCACUUCUGGCAGAGAAUGAGGAAAGACUUUUCAAACAUUGGGUACUGCACAUGCAGCACAUCAUGCUUCAACACCAAAGAAUUUUUUCUUCUAACAGUACAGCAUGGAAGACAUAUAGAGCAUACGUUGACCUAGGACCGUAGGCUUCCC